CCACAACGGCCGUGGUCGCACCUGUCGGUGGACUUCCUGACGGAUCUUCCUCCCUCACAGGGCAACACCACGAUCCUGGUCGUUGUGGAUCGGUUUUCUAAGUCAGGUGGUUGUUACUGGUCAUCUGGGGGUAACAGAGUCUAGGUGAAUGGUUAGGUGGUUGUUAGUGGUCAUCUGGGGGUAACAGAGUCUAGGUGAAUGGUUAGGUGGUUGUUAGUGGUCAUCUGGGGUCCUGAGUCUCGGGGUCUUAGGAGGUUACUGCCAAUGAUGGAUGGCUAGUCAGAAUCUGGCCCAAUGUUGUUCUGAGGCUGCCAAUGUUAUUGACCUACAGUGAGUGUUUUCAUUUAAGACUGAUGCUAAAUGAGGUAGAAAGGGUUUCUUCUUACUGUGAGAACAUGGUUGAACCCAUUCACCCUCUUUUUAAACAGCCCCUGCUGGAAUCCCAGCACGCCAACCC
rnacentral:lncRNA from 1 species